AAAAGUGUCGCCCCUCCUUUCUCUCCUCUCUCCUCCACCUCCCUUUGUCAGAACCCUGGCGGGAAUCUCGUUUUUGCCACCUUCCUCUCAUCUGCUCCAUCUGACCUAUCUUCUAAAACCUUAGCACCAAAUGGUGCAAGGUCUGAUUUUGUCACCCUAGCCUCACAAAUUUCCUUUUCCCUUCAUCUCUCUCAUUGUCCUCUCUUGAACCCCCCCAACACCAAUUGGCGUUACUUCAACAUCCUUCGUGUCAUCAUGACUUUGAGAAUCAGAUUCUCUGUCACAAAUCCCUUGAUUCAACUUCAUGUGAUUUGUACAUGAGUUUGAAUUGACUCAUGAGAUUCGAGAGACUUCAAAUCUGAAGGAGUUUUUAUCCGCUGGACAAAGAUUGAAACCAACGGACAAGCCUUCGACCCCGAAGUCCUAGCUUCAACAACUCUUUCCCUUUUCAUGAAUGCCUCCAAAAGGUAAUGAUUUUCACCUUUUCCAUUUGAUCUUUACCAUGACUUCCAUCAUGAUUUCAUCAUCAUUUUUCUUCAAAUUCUGAAAUUUAAGUUUCAAAUCUGAAAAGGUCUUCAAUUUGGGCUAUAAAUAGCCGACUUCAAUACUCUUUUCACAACAUGAGAUACACUACUCAUUAUGUGAAAAAAAACUCUCUGAUAAUUCGAGUUUUUAGUGCUUUACUCAUUUUGUUUUCUCCUCUGUUUGAUUCGAUUGAGCAAGGGCGGAUUUAGGGGGCGGAAGGGUGUUCAUCCGAACAUCCUUCGUCGGAAAAAGUUACACUGUUUAUAUAGGGGUAAUUUUAUUUUUUUACGUAUAGAUAUAAUAUGUUGAACGCCCUUGACACAAGUCAAAAGCUUGGCUUAGUGGUCAAGGGUGUUCAGAUUUUGUAAAAGGUCGCAGUUUCAAUUCCCGUCAACUGAAAUCUAAUUCUUUUUACCUCAUACUUUUUUUUAAAAUUUUAAACUAAACGAAACGACGUCGUUUUCGUUUCGUCUCUUUUAAUAUGUUUUUCCCCAAAAACGUAACUGACUUUGAGUUAAAAUCCCUAAAUCUCUCUCUCACUUCAUUGCCUCAAUGGCUCCCUCCACUCUCUCUCUCUCUCUCUCUCUCUCUCUCUCUCUCUCUCUCUCUCUCUGUGUGUGUGUGUCUCUCUCUCUCUUUCUCCAAUCUCUCUACCUUGCUGCUGUUGCUUGCUAUUCUUCUGUCAUGGCAUUGUCAUCCCAGGUAAAUUCCUUGUUCUUUCUAAUUUUUCAGAAAUUUAUUAGUAUUUUAUUGGUUAUUCUUAAUUUAGAUUAAUGACUCUUGUUUGUUGUUUUUUGAUUCUUGAAUCCGUAGACUUUAAUAAUGUAAAUUAUUGAGUUUUCUACUGCAUUUGCUUUGAUAAAUUUAUGAAAAAUAAUUGCUAAUUUUUUUUAGAAUUGAGAUACUUUUGACUCGAUCUUUGGUGAUAAUUGCUCAUAUUUUAUCCCCUUCCGCUGCAUAAGUUACAAUGAUUAAUAUUGUGUAGGAAGGAAAAAAAUUCCAAUCUCUUACUAUCCAAAUAAAAUAAAAUAUAAUAUAAAUCGCUAGUACGUGUGCGUUUUCAACAUAUCGUUAGCGUGAGUUUCGACGAUAGUUUAGUUCCUAUUUAGAUUUUUUUUAUGCAUCCGUUUGACAUUACAUUUGGAUUCAAUAAAUUUCGAUGAACCCUUUCGAUGAAAUUUUUACUGUUCAAUUCUUUAUAAUAUUGAACACCCUUGUUCGGAAUUCUGGAUCCGCCACUACGAUUGAGUUUGAGUUUGGGAGUUUAAUUUUGGAGACGAAUCUUUGACGACUCGACCCGACGCCCCAGUCUGCUGCCCCGAAAGAGAAUUCCAUUUUGAAACUCAACGACGUCGCUGCUGCAUAGAGACUGCACAUCCUCAUUCUUCGGUUUUCAUAUCGUUUAGACAUAAACAUAGAAGAGAAAAUCUUCUGGGAACUGAGCAGAGACUCUUGAAACGGUCCUUUCUGCUUCACUUAUUUGCUAUAUGACUUACUAUUCUAAUUUUUAUUAUGUGAUUGACUGUUAGGAUCUAAUUCUAUUAUAAAUCACAGUCAAGUCUUUUAAUUAUGUAUUUUGUUUUAUAGUUACAUAUAGUUGAAACUCUUUAGAAUCAUGAAUGUGCAUCAAAUACUAGUUGUUGAGCCUGCUAAAGUAUUACAAAAGAAAUAUUAGUUUUUAAAAUUUAUUUCUUCAUUCUAUCGAUUUUAGAUUAAAAACUCCACCUUGGUGAUUUUUUUAAAAGGCUAUAAAGCUAGUAGUAUUUCUAACACACAGAAGUUGUCAUCUAUGUUUUCCUUUCAGUGUUGCAAACAUUUAAGUCGAGUUUGUUAUCUGUACUUCCUUUAGAAACAUUUUCUGAACUAACUUGCCUAAUGUUUCAACAUGAUCCACUUGUAGGUAGAAAGUAGUAUUUUCAAUGAUACAAGCAUCAAUUUUCUUAUAAGACAAAGAGAAUUCUCUUCAACAUAAUUUUUGGUGUGAACCUGAUUUUCUUUUAAAAAGGUUCUCCAUAUUUAUACUUAGUCCUAAUUAACUUUAAUCCGGUCGGUUAAUAAUUUUCUUUAAAUUAAUUGAGCCUUUAUUUUACUCAAACCCGGAAUAGUUAAAUUAUUAUAUUCUAGUUCAACCCGUUUAAAAUGGGGUACAACAAUGUAUCUUUGGUCACAAGUCUUUGAUCAAUCAAGUAUCAAGAAUUGAUAUAUUCCAUACAUUUAAUGUUUCUUUACAUGUACCUAACACUCGAGCGAUAUUGUUGUUUGAAGUUAAAUCGCAACACACAACCGAGUCAACACAUGAAGAAUGAGCAGAGUCGUCACCCCAAGUGGGGCCAGGUACGUUAAGGGACAUGAUGACAACGACAGGCUAUAGUUGACUUCUUGUAUGAAUAAUACAUACAACUUUAUUAAAUAAAGCAAUUCGUUACUCCCUCACUUUCUAAUUUUUGUAUCACUUUUUUAAAUAUUUCAAAACUUGACAACUUUUACUAUUACCUUAAAGUUUCGUCAUGCUUUUACAAUUCAUACAAUUCAAACAUCAAAACACUUUUAGCUUCACACAACUUUAGAAUGAUCAAACCUUUUAUUUAAUAAUCUCUUACGCAUUUCCCCUCUCACGACCCCAAUUUUCCUCUGUAGGAUGUCGUGAUGACACCUAAUUUCUAAGAUUAGGUAAGCCUAACAAUUUGCGGAAUAACUGAAUAUAAAACUGAACUCAAAUCUCAACACAUGAAAUAUGAAUAGAACCUGCGAUUCAAAUAAUUACAACUCCCAAAACCCGGUAGAAAUAAGUCACAAAUUUAUAAAAGAAAAUAUCAAGUGUCUCUAUACAUCAGAGUCUAAAGAAAAUAAGGAAAAGCAAUAUAGUAAGGAUGGGAGGGCUCCGAGGACUGUGGACGCUGGCAGAUAUACCUUGAAGUCUCCACGUACGGUCCAGCUCACUGGUAUCUGACCUGGUAGGAAGAACCUGGAUCUGCACAACAAGAUAUGCGGAAGUGUAGUAUGAGUACACCACAACGGUACCUAGUAAGUGUCAAGCCUAACCUCAGUAGAGUAGUGACGAGGUCAGAUCAUGGCCCUACUGGAAUAAAAGGUAAUGAGGCAUAGAAUAUAAUAAUACAAUGGAGUGACUGAGAAAUGAACAACGAGAAAUUUCAGAAAGGUAACAACACAGCAAAUAGAGAAAAAAACAGUGACGCUCCUGAGGUAUCGUCUCGUAGUCCCAAAUGUAAAUACACAAUAUGGGGAUCUCUCGAGGUACCGCCUUGUAGUCCUAAAAGUAAAUAUGCAAUGGGGGAUCUCCCAAGGUACCGCCUCGUAGUCCCAAAAGUAAAUAUGCAACAGGGGAUCUCCCGAGGUACCGCCUCGUAGUCCCAAAAGUAAAUACACAACUCAUAACCUAUGGUACAACGAACUUACAUCAAGGAAUCAUACAGUUAAAGACUGAAUACAAGAUCACGGAAGCAAGUAAUUCAACUAAGCAUGUUGCACAAAUUUAAAGUAAAGGUUAAGACACGUAGACAUGCGAUACUAGGCUAAACAUGACAGUUACACAUGCUAAGGCAACUAAGUUAUGGAAAUUAAAAGAAGACUACUCAGCAAGAACUGAAAUUUCCACAAUUAGCCGGUGUACACACUCGUCACCUUGCGUACACGACACUCACAUAUCACAAAUUGUUACAACAGUACCAAAUCCUAAGAGGAUUUUUCCCACACAAGGUUAGAUAAGUCACUUACCUCGAAUCUCGCUCAAUCUAUCGAUAAGGAUACUUUCCCUUUGCUUUUCCACUCCAAAUGGCCCAAAUCUAGCCAAAAUCAAUUACAUACCAUGAAUACAACUAUAAGAAACUAAUUUAAAUAAUAAAUCUACGACUUUAGCAAAGAAUCAAAAAUCGCCUCAAAAGGUCGACCUGGGCCCACGCCGCAGAAUCAGGUAAAAGUCACAAAAUACGAACACCCAUACCAAAAUUACUCAAAUUUGACACAAAAUUCUCGAUCAGAACCCCAAAAUUCGGCCUAAGGAUUUGUUUUCCACCCUUUUCACAGCCCAAAUCCUUAAUUAAUGGAAGAAUAAAUGAUAUCUUAGUGGAAAUUAAUAAAAAAAUAAGUCAAGAAUCCUUACCCAAAUGUUUCCUCUGAAAACCCCUCAAAUUUUUGCCUCAAUCCGAGCCCUAUAUCACAAAUUAUGAAGAAAAGGGCAAACCCUCUAUUUAAUAUAAUCCGCCUAGGCUUUUCGCAUCUGCGGCCAAUUCACCGCACCUGCAGAACCGCUUUUGCGGUAAAAACCUUUGCUUUCUUUUGUGCUUUUAAGCUAUUUUAUGGUAUAUCGAGAUAGUUGGUUCGGGUCCGGAGUGGUUUCUUUAGACACUUAGUCUCUAAAGUAGAAGCUUAAGUUGGAAAAGUCAAUCGGAUAUUGACUUAUGUGUAAACGAUCUUGGAUUUGAAUUUUGACGGUUCUGUUAGCUCCGUUAGAUGAUUUUGGACUUAGGAGUGCGUCUGAAAGUUGGAGUAGGUUUGUGGUGUCAUUUGAGACGUGUAUGUAAAAUUUGAGGUCAUUCGGACGUGGUUUGGUAGGUUUCGGCGUCGUUUGCAGAAUUUGGGAAGUUAGAAGUUCUUAGACUUGAAUCCGAGGGUAAUUUGGUGUUUUGAUGUUAUUUUGAGUGAUUUGAUGAUUUUUCAAAGUUUGUAUGUUGAUAUAUGACUUGUUGGUAUGUUUGGUUGAGGUCUUGAGAGGCUCGGGGUGAGUCCGGGUGGUUAACGGAUUGUUUGAAGUUGGAAAAAUGCAGUUGAAGCUGCUACUACUGGUAUUUCCGCACCUGCGAAGGGGGAGCCGUAGGUGCGAGGUCGUUGGUGCACUUGGUGAGCCGCAGAUGCGGACAUAGAGGACCUGGUCUGGAACCGCAGGUGCGUAAGAUUGGUCGCAUCUGCGAGCCCGUAGAUGCGAGGCUGAGGCGUAGAUGCAGAAGUGAGGAGGACUGGCAGUGGCCGCAAGUGCGAGGUCUUUUGCGCACCUACGAGGUUGCAGAAGCAGAUAUGGAACAUAGGUGCGAGAUAUGUGCGCAAAAAUGGCUCCGAAGGUGCGCAUUAUUUUAGCCACAGGUGCGAAAACCUGGGCAGAACCUAUAGAUAGAAGACUUCGCGAAUUUUUGUUCAUUCCCACCAUUUUCAAGUAGGAACUUGGAGUUUUGGAGUGAUGUUUGAAGGGGAUUCAAGGAUAUUCACUGAGGUAAGUUGCUUGAGCUCUAUUAUCAUUAGCUAUGGUGUUUUUUCGUUAAUGUUCCACCUAAUUAGUAGAAUUUUUGAAGUGAAAUAAGGGGUUAGGGCUUGGGAUUUUUGAGGAUUUGAGGGACCAAAUGAUGUCGGAUUUUGAUAAAUUUAGUAUGGGUAGACUCGUGAGUGAAUAGGCUUUCGGGUUUUAUGACUUUUGUCAGAUUUCGAGAUGUGGGCCCGGGGGGGGUGAGUGAAUUUCGGAAUUUGGCCUAUAAAUUGGUAUUUUCCUUGUGGGAUUUGUUCCUUUAGCUCAUAUUGAUCGUAUUUUAUUGCUUGUGGCUAGAUUCAGGUCAUUUGGAGGACGGUUCAAGAGGAAACGACAUUUCAGAGUAGGAGUUCUACGCGGUUGAAGUAACUAACAGUUUUAAAUCUGGUCUUGAGGGUAUGAAACCCAGAGUUUGGUAUAAUGUGAUUGUUUGGAGGUGGCACUCAUGCUAGGUGACGGGCGUGUGGGUGUACUCCAUGAGGGAUUGAGACUUGGUCCUUACCGGGAGACUAUGAAUUCUAAUAGCCUUUUUUUUGUGUUUAUAUGAAUUCCUGUCUACUAGAACUUGAUUGCCUUUCAUGUUAGAGAUCAUGCUUAGGCUAUAUUCCUGCUCAUGGUAGUUAUAUCCUAUCAUAGUGAUUCUUGUAGAUGUUUACCUCAGUCUCUGUUAUUUUUCCCUGAUGAUAUACUGUAACACUUUGAUUUGGGCUAUUUUCCCUUUCUUUAUUGAAAGCUAUGAGACUAGAGAGGUUCAUGACUGAGUAAGGCUGAAGGCCUGGUUGUGAUGUAUUGUUCUAUGGCACGGUUGUUGUCCGUGCAACACUUGAGUUGUCCAUGCAGAUCCUUAUAUUUAUACUAGGGCACGUGAGUUGUCCGUGCAGCACGUGAGUUGUCUGUGCGGAUCCAGAUAUUUAUACUAUAGCACGUGAGUUGUCCGUGCAGCACGUGAGUUGUCCGUGCAGAUUAUAGCGCUUAGGCUGCAGGAGCCUCUUAUGAGUCUGAACACCCCUAGUGAGCUCAAGUACCUAUUGAGCGUGCAUUGAGGGCUGGGAGUUGAGUGCCGAGUUGUUGAGGGUUUGAGUGACUGUUGCCCUGAGAGGUUGUACUUGCUUUUCAAUUGUUGAUGCACUUAGUUCUAUCUAUCAUUGUUGUGAAAUUUCUGAAAGUUUCUAUAUCCGGAGUACCUACACUUUAACUGUAUAAAACUGAUUUGACUUAAAUUGCGGAUUUGAAAAUAUGUCUAUUCUUUGCUGGAAUUAUUGAAAAUGAACUGUACUGUAUAGCUCGUCACUGCUUCUCAGUUCCUUAUUUAUUUCUGUUACUUACUGAGUUGGUUGUACUCAUGCUACACCCUACACUUCAUGUGUAUAUCCAGGUGGGUUUGAUUACGGAGGUCAUUGAGUUCGGGCGCGAUCGAGUACCGGAGACUACGAGGUAGCCGACGGUGUCCGCAGGACCUUGUCUCUCUUUCUAUAUUUCUUUCUGUCUUGUAUUGAUACUUAGACACUGGUUGUAUUAGUUUGGUUGUCUAGAUGCUCAUGACUUAGUGACACCCCGAUGUUUGGGGCUAGAUUCCAC
rnacentral:lncRNA from 1 species